GAAAUGGUCCAAGUGACAAGGGCGGCACCCAGAUAAUAUCUUUUGGGAUUUACGGCUCUCACCCGUAAGGCCCGGGUUCGAUUCCCGGCAACGGAACCA